rnacentral:rRNA from 1 species
AGAGUUUGAUCCUGGCUCAGGAUGAACGCUAGCUACAGGCUUAACACAUGCAAGUCGAGGGGCAGCAUUAUCGAAGCUUGCUUUGAUAGAUGGCGACCGGCGCACGGGUGCGUAACACGUAUCCAAUCUACCCAUGGCUCAGGGAUAGCCUUUCGAAAGAAAGAUUAAUACCUGAUGGUUUCGUUUUUCCGCAUGGGAAGACGAAUAAAGAUUUAUCGGCGAUGGAUGAGGAUGCGUCCGAUUAGGUAGUUGGCGGGGUAACGGCCCACCAAGGCGACGAUCGGUAGGGGCUCUGAGAGGAGGAUCCCCCACAUUGGAACUGAGACACGGUCCAAACUCCUACGGGAGGCAGCAGUGAGGAAUAUUGGUCAAUGGGCGAAGGCCUGAACCAGCCAAGUAGCGUGAGGGACGACUGCCCUAUGGGUUGUAAACCUCUUUUGUUUGGGAAUAAAGUGAGCCACGUGUGGCUUUUUGUAUGUACCUUACGAAUAAGCAUCGGCUAAUUCCGUGCCAGCAGCCGCGGUAAUACGGAAGAUGCGAGCGUUAUCCGGAUUUAUUGGGUUUAAAGGGAGCGUAGCGGGUCUUUAAGCCAGCGGUCAAAUGUCAUGGCCCAACCUUGGCAUGCCGUUGGAACUGUUGGCCUUGAAUACACACAAGGAAGGUGGAAUUCGUCGUGUAGCGGUGAAAUGCUUAGAUAUGACGAAGAACUCCGAUUGCGAAGGCAGCCUUCUGGGGUG